CGGAGAGGUGGUUUGGGGACCGAGCGGGACAGGGGCGUCCCACUGCCCGAUCCCACCCCGGCGCUUUGCAUAAAUAAAUAAAUCAUGCAGCGAGGGAGAGGUGGAGAGAGAGGGCGAGCAGAGGAGGUUACUUUGGGAAGCCGCGCAGCUCGCUCAUCCCAGCCCCGUAGUUCGGAGGGAGUGUGUCAUGUUACAGGGGAGCCACGAUCAGCCAGAGCACAGCGUCGCCGGAGCAGCUGAGAAUUACCUCUCUCUAAUGGGGACUUUCAUGUGCGAGCUCCUGGCCAGCCUGCGAAGGAACUGAAACUGACAGCUUAGAAAGAAUCAAAAACCUACCAGCGAACCAAAAGACUGAAAUACAGGAGGGAAAAAAAAAAAAUCAAUCUCGAUCAGAUUAUUUUUUUCCCCCUCGCACUCUUUGCUCCAGUUGGAUCCCUUUUUUCUGCACCCCUUUUAUGUGUGUGUGGUUUGUUUUUAUUUUUUAAAGACACCCCCCCGCCCCAGUCCACUUUUGUCAUUAUUGCUGUCACUUGUGAUUUGCUGCCACCGGGAUCCCCUUCGACGUUCUUUUCCUAUGCCUUCUGGAUUGUGCUUCUCGGAGCAGGAGUGAAGCUUUAUUUAUUCUAUUUAUUUAUUUAUUGUUUCUCAGGACAGGGAGGGAAUGUUGGAGGAGAAGAGCUGGAAAGGCGUCGACGAAGCAGCUUUUGACAGGGGGUGUGUGGCUCCCCCCAGGAGCGGCGAUGGGGAGAGAUGCUGCCGCCUCCCCCUGCUGCUGGGCUCGGGGCUGCCCGGCGUCUCCCUGCUCUCUCUGGUGCUCAGCCUCCUGCUGUACUUUCGGACCUCCGACCUGCAGUCCCGCGUGUCCCACUUGGAAGCGGGCAGACCCGCACAGCUCCCUGCCUGGCUCUCAGCAGACCAAAUGGAGACGGCUAUUUUGGGAAGAGUUGACCAACUGCUCAAUGAGAAAUUGAAGUUCCACUUGCCAAGACAUCGAGAAGUUCGAGACACGCACCAGCGCUGCAACUGCCCGGCAGGUAGGGAUCUGGGACAGCUGCCACUUUGGGAGGUGACAAAAACUCUUCUGCCUGCACCUCGUUGAAG
rnacentral:lncRNA from 12 species